rnacentral:rRNA from 1 species
UACGGAGGAUGCAAGCGUUAUCCGGAUUUAUUGGGUUUAAAGGGUGCGCUGGUUGUUUGAUAAGUCAGUGGUGAAAGUCUGUCGCUUAACGGUAGGAUUGCCAUUGAUACUGUUGGACUUGAAUAUGGAUGAGGUAGGCGGAAUGUGUAGUGUAGCGGUGAAAUGCAUAGAUACUACACAGAACACCGAUUGCGAAGGCAGCUUACUAAUCCAUCAUUGACGCUGAGGCACGAAAGCGUGGGGAUCAAACGGGA